AGUGAACGCUGGCGGUAGGCCUAACACAUGCAAGUCGAACGGCAGCACAGUAAGAGCUUGCUCUUACGGGUGGCGAGUGGCGGACGGGUGAGGAAUACAUCGGAGUCUACUUUUUCGUGGGGGAUAACGUAGGGAAACUUACGCUAAUACCGCAUACGACCUACGGGUGAAAGCAGGGGAUCUUCGGACCUUGCGCGAUUGAAUGAGCCGAUGUCGGAUUAGCUAGUUGGCGGGGUAAAGGCCCACCAAGGCGACGAUCCGUAGCUGGUCUGAGAGGAUGAUCAGCCACACUGGAACUGAGACACGGUCCAGACUCCUACGGGAGGCAGCAGUGGGGAAUAUUGGACAAUGGGCGCAAGCCUGAUCCAGCCAUACCGCGUGGGUGAAGAAGGCCUUCGGGUUGUAAAGCCCUUUUGUUGGGAAAGAAAAGCAGCAGGUUAAUACCCCGCUGUUCUGACGGUACCCAAAGAAUGAGCACCGGCUAACUUCGUG
rnacentral:rRNA from 1 species